rnacentral:lncRNA from 1 species
CUUGACAUGUUUGCAGUUGCCUGACUGUGCAGUUUUCCCCUUCUCCUGCAGAAACCAAACAAACAACAACACUCUCCUGUUGAAGAAUCCAAGUCAGGAUCUGUAUUUAACUCCUCUCCCCUGUGUAUGUACAAAGGCAUUACCUAUUUACUGUGUAAUUAGGA